GUAGAAUGCAAAUUGGGAUGAUGGUCAGUAAUCCAAUGUAGGGUCCAUGUUCAUAGGCCCAAUCAGAACCCAAGCAAGGCCAAUUCAACAUGUGAUGGAAAUUGUACUCAGCAAAUCAAAUGUAACAUGGGAGAAUUUGAAAUUAAAAUUUCAUUUAAAUACAACCAAAAUUAACGCGCCAGGUCACGCCCUCAGCUCAGGCCAUGUUUAAAUGAGAACCACCGUGGACCACCGCUUCGAAAAUCGUGUCCGGCGGCGGUGGCCACCAGAAACCAAAAUUGGAUACAUCAAUGGAAACGUUUCAACUUCCUCUUCCCAAAUAUCCCUUCGAUUUCUCCAGAUUCUCGCUCGAACUCCCUAACCGCACCACACUCCUCAAGAACCCUAAUCAUUCAACAUUAAAUUAAACGCCAAAUCUGAAGAUUCAAAGCCCCUGGGAUUGGAGCUUUGAAUCCUCUCUCUAUCUUCUACAUCCUAGUGACGAAAGAUUGAAGAAAGGAAGGAUUUCAAGGUUUACCUUGCGGGAAGUGGUGAACUUGACAACGUCGGAACCUCUGCUUCCAGGUCUUGUGUGCCUUACUUCAUUUCCUGGAGGUUUGGUCAAUGCAAAAUGGUUUGUCGGUUAUGCAAGUGUGGUUUCUUGUAGCAUAGCCAUGGUUCUACAUCAUGAUAUUGUGUAUUGCCUGCUAGUUUAUGACUUUACUGACUUGGCUUAUGCACUCAUUCUGACCUUGUAUUGCAGGUAUGGUUUUGAGGUGUUUCACUGCAGGUGAGCAUGUCAUGUUUAUGCAAGGUUUGAUAGCAGUCAUAUGGUUCUGCAAGGUUAUGCAUCACACUUUAAUUCUGACUUAGUUUAAGCAUGUUAUGAUGUGGUUCUUGUUGUUGUAGGUCAAUUUUGAUUCUGACUUUACCUUGUAGAUUUGUGGCUAGUGCAUUGACGAUGCCUAUUGUUUAUUCUGAUGGCUUGCUUCUGACUUAUGUGUUGCAAGGAGCUUGUGGGAUAGGUCACCAUUAUAAGGCAUUAGCAUGUUGCAGCAAAAUGAACAAAGCAUGCUUUGAUGAAUAAAUCUUUCUUGGUUAUGAAGUAACAAUGAAUCAUGGGAUUGAAAUGGAAGAUCAGCAUAAAGCAAGCAGGAUUAGGUUUAGGGAAGAUGUGAGUUGACUUUGGUCAAAGUUGUAAGUUCGGAGUGCGUCUAAGAGAGGGGAUUGCCAUACCCUAAUUUUUAACCCUAAGAUCUCACAUAUCAUUUGCAUCAUUUGCACACAAACAAGGUCAUAUCUUAGUCUUUUCCCUUAUCCAUCUUUGGGUUUGUUUCUUGCAGGGAUCACCAAGCACCUCUUUGUUGGUUUAUUUUUACCUUUGUGUUUACAUGAUUAAUUUCUUAUCUAACCACUAAUCAAAAUACCAAAAAUAUAUCUUACUUCCCUUAA